rnacentral:rRNA from 1 species
UUUGAUUUGAAAGGCGCUUUCGGGUGUCGCUGAUGGAUGGACCCGCGGUGCAUUAGCUAGUUGGUGAGGUAACGGCUCACCAAGGCCACGAUGCAUAGCCGACCUGAGAGGGUGAUCGGCCACAUUGGGACUGAGACACGGCCCAAACUCCUACGGGAGGCAGCAGUAGGGAAUCUUCGGCAAUGGACGAAAGUCUGACCGAGCAACGCCGCGUGAGUGAAGAAGGUUUUCGGAUCGUAAAACUCUGUUGUUAGAGAAGAACAAGGAUGAGAGUAACUGUUCAUCCCUUGACGGUAUCUAACCAGAAAGCCACGGCUAACUACGUGCCAGCAGCCGCGGUAAUACGUAGGUGGCAAGCGUUGUCCGGAUUUAUUGGGCGUAAAGCGAGCGCAGGCGGUUUCUUAAGUCUGAUGUGAAAGCCCCCGGCUCAACCGGGGAGGGUCAUUGGAAACUGGGAGACUUGAGUGCAGAAGAGGAGAGUGGAAUUCCAUGUGUAGCGGUGAAAUGCGUAGAUAUAUGGAGGAACACCAGUGGCGAAGGCGGCUCUCUGGUCUGUAACUGACGCUGAGGCUCGAAAGCGUGGGGAGCAAACAGGAUUAGAUACCCUGCACGCCGUAAACGAUGAGUGCUAAGUGUUGGAGGGUUUCCGCCCUUCAGUGCUGCAGCUAACGCAUUAAGCACUCCGCCUGGGGAGUACGACCGCAAGGUUGAAACUCAAAGGAAUUGACGGGGGCCCGCACAAGCGGUGGAGCAUGUGGUUUAAUUCGAAGCAACGCGAAGAACCUUACCAGGUCUUGACAUCCUUUGACCACUCUAGAGAUAGAGCUUCCCCUUCGGGGGCAAAGUGACAGGUGGUGCAUGGUUGUCGUCAGCUCGUGUCGUGAGAUGUUGGGUUAAGUCCCGCAACGAGCGCAACCCUUAUUGUUAGUUGCCAUCAUUCAGUUGGGCACUCUAGCAAGACUGCCGGUGACAAACCGGAGGAAGGUGGGGAUGACGUCAAAUCAUCAUGCCCCUUAUGACCUGGGCUACACACGUGCUACAAUGGGAAGUACAACGAGUUGCGAAGUCGCGAGGCUAAGCUAAUCUCUUAAAGCUUCUCUCAGUUCGGAUUGCAGGCUGCAACUCGCCUGCAUGAAGCCGGAAUCGCUAGUAAUCGCGGAUCAGCACGCCGCGGUGAAUACGUUCCCGGGCCUUGUACACACCGCCCGUCAC